UUGAACGCUGGCGGCAUGCUUUACACAUGCAAGUCGAACGGCAGCGGGGGCUUCGGCCUGCCGGCGAGUGGCGAACGGGUGAGUAAUGCAUCGGAACGUACCCAGUCGUGGGGGAUAACUACGCGAAAGCGUGGCUAAUACCGCAUACGCCCUGAGGGGGAAAGCGGGGGACCUUCGGGCCUCGCGCGAUUGGAGCGGCUGAUGUCGGAUUAGCUGGUUGGUGGGGUAAAGGCCUACCAAGGCGACGAUCCGUAGCUGGUCUGAGAGGAUGAUCAGCCACACUGGGACUGAGACACGGCCCAGACUCCUACGGGAGGCAGCAGUGGGGAAUUUUGGACAAUGGGGGCAACCCUGAUCCAGCCAUGCCGCGUGAGUGAAGAAGGCCUUCGGGUUGUAAAGCUCUUUCGGCCGGAACGAAAUCGCGUACGUGAAUAACGUGCGUGGAUGACGGUACUGGAAGAAGAAGCACCGGCUAACUACGU
rnacentral:rRNA from 1 species